rnacentral:tRNA from 1 species
CACUAAGAAAUACUGCAAGAGCACUAGCCUUUUAAGCUAGAAAAAGAGGGGCCCCCCCCUCCUUAGUGA